ACGUCGAGACAGCGGAACUCUGGCCGUCAUGAGGUCCGCAGACAGCCGGCAGCUGCUCCCCAAGAGUGAAACAGCCCGCGCUUCUGACCAGUUGGCACCCGGAGGGAGUCCAGUGGAGGAACAGGAAUCCGUGGAGGCAGCUGACGGACAGUGGUCUUCAGCUCAAAGGGAGAGAAGGAGAAUACAUGUUGUAUCCUGGUGAGGAGAAGUAGUCACCUGCAAUCCCGAGGACCAUCUGCACCUUCCAGAACAGAAAAGCAAGGCUGGUUGGGUUAGUCCUGAGAUCAGCAGCUGUGCAUUUGUGCUUCAAAGAGAAGCCUUUGGGACUUCCCUGGUGGCACAGUGGUUAAGA